AACUCAUCGACCUGCAGCUUGCCCUAGUCUCAAAACACAAGAACGCUGCUGCUCUGUCUUCCUCUAUCAAUCUCUCAGAAAUUUUGUUUUCUCAAAGCAAGGGUUACGAAUUGAUUUGUGAAUCGAAAGUCUGCCCUAAUUUUCAACCUCUAUUUGCGAAUCCAGGAUAAGUUUGAGAGUGUUGACAUGAAUGAUCAUCGUGAUCAUAUCUUGGGAUGGAUAAAAGAGUUAUGGAACAAAUGGAGAGGACACUUGCAUGCAAAAUAUGUGAAGGACAAGCCAAUCCAACAAGCUCUUAAGAAUAUUCCAAAGGGAGUAGACAAGAAAGAAUGAGAGUGGUGAGAAGCGAUAAGAAUGCAGCAAACCGAGCUAAAUUGAAGAUGCUUCAUCAUAUUGGUAGCAAGCCUGUUCGAGAGAUAAUUUAUCAAAAGGCGGGAAAGAUGACAAUCCACCAGAUUUGGCAACAAUUUUCUUUGAGACUCGUAAGAAAAAUAACAAGCUUGUUGAACCUGAAGCAAUUGAAAAACAUGUUCAGAUUGAAGAAAUAGUUCAAUCAGGUGCAUCUUUACCUACCAUAGAGAUAGUAGAAAAGUGUUGUGGACCUCAAACUCGUAGCCAUGUAUUUGGCUUUGGGGGUGGAGUAAAGGCGUAAGACUUGAAAGGUGACACUUCUUCAAAGGCUGAAUUACUGUCCGCUGUGACGACCCGGCCAGUCGUCUCAUGAGUUACCGCUCCGUUUUCCCCUAUUUUAGCUUCUUUACGCUUCGUUAUCC